rnacentral:rRNA from 1 species
AUUGAGCGCUGGCGGCAGGCCUAACACAUGCAAGUCGAACGAGUGGCGGACGGGCGAGUAAUGUCUGGGAAACUGCCCGAUGGAGGGGGAUAACUACUGGAAACGGUAGCAAAUACCGCAUACCAUCGGAUGUGCCCAGAUGGGAUUAGCUAGUAGGUGGGGUAAUGGCUCACCUAGGCGACGAUCCCUAGCUGGUCUGAGAGGAUGACCAGCCACACUGGAACUGAGACACGGUCCAGACUCCUACGUGAGGCAGCAGUGGGGAAUAUUGCACAAUGGGCGCAAGCCUGAUGCAGCCAUGCCGCGUGUGUGAAGAAGGCCUUCGGGUUGUAAAGUACUUUCAGCGAGGAGGCGUUACGCGCAGAAGAAGCACCGGCUAACUCCGUGCCAGCAGCCGCGGUAAUUC